CUGGCCCGGACACCCACGUUAAACUAAAAUAUAUAUAUAUAUAUAUAUAUAUAUGUGCAACUGGACACCCAGAAUAUCAUAGUAGAGUCUAAAGAUUUAUUUGUUUGUGUUUUAAAAAUAUUUUUUUUAAAAUUAAUAUUUUUUUGAUAUUUCUGGAUUUUUUAUAUGCUAUGUUAAAAAUAAUUUUUUUAAAAUAAAAAAUAUAUUAUUUUAAUAUAUUUUUAAAUAAAAAAAACUUUAAAAAAUAAACAGAGGAUCAAAUGCUCUGCGUAUAUAUCCUUCGAGUGCUAUCCAAAUCAAUUAUUCCAAUUCUUUCCGAUUUCCACCAUCCCCUUGUCAUCUUUUAUUGUUAACUUUGCCUUUGUGAUUCUCAUUCCUCUUCAACAUGCAUGCGUACUCCGCCGUAUAUAUAAGAGAAAAUGGCAGGUCGUAGAGGCCAGCUUACCGAGACAUAAACAUUCUAUCUCCCCAUCAGUCAGUGAAGCAUUACAGAUUAAUGGCAUCAUUGAAGGCUGAGAAAUCUAUUGGCACUGAUCAGCUCUCCGGGCAGGCCAAGAAAGAGCCUGCCAAGCUUAAUGACAGCACCUCCAAAACAACGGCAUCAAAGCCGGCCUCCAAGAAGGCUGCACAAAAGCCUCAAGAAGCCAAGAAGAAGCUGGGAAAACGAAACAAAUCAGGAAAGCACUAAGCUAAUUGUCAAAUGCAUCAGCUGUGGGGUGAAUAAGUUAAUAUAUAGUUAGUCCCAUGCUAUCUAAUUUCAGUACGUUUUAGCUUUUAAUUCAAUAUUGUGUAACAAAAACCCUAUCUUACUGAUCAAGGGCCAUUGAUGCAUCUGAAUGUAAGGCACUUGCGUUAGAGAAAUAAAACUUUGUAUUUGAAACUA